GUUGGAAGUGAAAAAUUCUAUAAAAUUUGUUAAUAAUUAGUGUCAACUUAUUUAAAGUGAUUAAUUUUGUGUGUCAUACACUGGUGAACACCGCAGUUUAUUGGAAACUUAUAAUAAGCGGUUAUGAGUGGAUAGUCGAAUACUGAUCCAGCUCGAUUGCAGCUGUGGGUACGCGGCAAAUAUACCUACCUACCUACUGAUUGUUACCAAAACGGAUAUAAGGAAUUCAUGUCUAACAAUGGAAGAAAUACUGAUAAACAGGUUAUCCAAAUUUGUCCAAGAAAUAAGGAACUUAACUGAUCAAGGUCACUGCCUUUGUAAGAUCUCAAUAGAUCAGCAUAAUCUAGAAAAGGCACAAAUUAUAAAAACUAAACUUACAGCCAUAUUGUCACGCUUUACAUGUGAACUAUAUAACUAUUUCAAAAUAUGCAAUAACCCUGACCCUGAUGAGAUAUCAGAUUUCACUACUUAUCAACUACAAGGAGAAGAAGUCUUGGCAGAGUUGGACGCCAAGCUGAAAAUUCAAGCGGAUCAACCUUCAACCUCGACAGAAGUUAAUAAAUCAUCAAGUUAUAGCAAGUUACCGGAUUUGAAAUUACCCGAAUUCAGCGGAAAUCUGCUCGAAUGGCAUUCAUUUUGGGAUCAGUUCACGUCUAAUAUAAGACGAAGAAAUUUAAAUGAUGUGGACAAGCUGCUUUAUCUCAAGAGCUCACUCAAGGGAGAUGCGGCAAGACUUGUAGAUGGAUUUGAUACAACAAACCGUAGUUAUAAACUUGCAGUUGAUACCUUAAAAGCAAGAUAUGGGAAAGACAGUGAGAUCAUAUAUGCUCACCAUAAAGCACUUACCAUGAUUAAAAGAGCUGGAAAUAUACAAGAGAGUCGACAAACCUUAGACGAAGUCUCAAGGCACCUUAGAAUACUUCAGUCUAUG